UAGGGAAUCUUCGGCAAUGGACGAAAGUCUGACCGAGCAACGCCGCGUGAGUGAAGAAGGUUUCGGAUCGUAAAACUCUGUUGUUAGAGAAGAACAAGGACGUUAGUAACUGAACGUCCCCUGACGGUAUCUAACCAGAAAGCCACGGCUAACUACGUGCCAGCAGCCGCGGUAAUACGUAGGUGGCAAGCGUUGUCCGGAUUUAUUGGGCGUAAAGCGAGCGCAGGCGGUUUCUUAAGUCUGAUGUGAAAGCCCCCGGCUCAACCGGGGAGGGUCAUUGGAAACUGGGAGACUUGAGUGCAGAAGAGGAGAGUGGAAUUCCAUGUGGAGCGGUGAAAUGCGUAGAUAUAUGGAGGAACACCAGUGGCGAAGGCGGCUCUCUGGUCUGUAACUGACGCUGAGGCUCGAAAGCGUGGGGAGCAAACAGG
rnacentral:rRNA from 1 species